CAGCCAUCAAAAGCCUCCUGGAGAAAGCCUGAAGUCAAGAGAGGCGACGCUGGUCUCCGCGCCCUCCCUGCUCCAUGGUACUUGGCGGAAUGGUAGACUGGUAGAUGUGUACUUAAUCUGUUAAUGCUUGCGACGCCGUCUCCUCCUCACUGUCAAAUGCAGCCUCCAAGGGCUUCCCUAGGACAACGCUCACCUCUCGGGAGCGAUCCCGUUUCCACCAUGGCACACCCCUCGCCCAUGGUCCUUGAAGUAACCGUGGCCGGCACGGAGAAUGUUCACGCAGGGCUGUGCCACCUUCUGCGUCCCAUCAGUCUCAAGGCUAUGCUCCACUGACUUCAGGACCACGUGCCCAUGUAGAGGCGGAUACGGCGCCCACAAGACGAUGCCACACCAGGUACUUGAAGAGACACACUGACUCUUGUUUUUCAUUGACGAUGCGUGUACAGUCUAUCUUUUUUCCAUAUCAAGCUUAGUCUUCUCGGGGAAGACACCUCGGCUCUGGAUUCAACACUGAGCCCCCACGAAGAUCUGAUUGGCCUCAAGUGCUUUCAGACGAUGUGCGGUCCACAGGCCCAUUUCUUCCCCCAUCUCCCACCCAGCCUUGAGGAACUUGCCGAAGAUGCUGCCAGCCUGAGAGCCAAGUUGGAGCCCUGGUUCUGGCCCCUGCGCCGACCUCACGGUACCUGGAAAGGGUUCCACCACACUGCAUGUGUUUGAUUAACAGCGUAUGUAAUGUGGUCUGCUUCUUUUCAGUAUCGCGUUCAGCCUCAAAGGUCUCCAGGGAGGUCAUGUCCACCUCCGAGACGAGGUAUCGGUUCUGGCUCCAGGACUGCUUUGAGAUACUUAGAAGAAGUUGACCAUGUUUCAUACGUCUUACUUACAAAGCAUGUGACUCAGUCAGCCUUUUCGUAACAGCCACUGCACUUGGGGGGCUUCCUGUAGGCAGUGCUGAGUAUCAGGCAUAGCGCUCGUCCCGGCGUCAUCUCCACUGUGGGUCCUUGAGGGGUUUCUCUGUGCCGCGUCCACUGCGCCUCUAGCAGACAUUGCAUAGGGGCCUCUUCUCAAUACUGCAUCUGGCCUCUGAGGGCUUCCAGAAGGUGAUGCUAAGGAGAGGAAAGAGACGCCGGUUCUUACAUCAGCCCUUCCCACGGUACCUGAAAAGAUGGUUGACCAUAGAACAUGCGCUGUCUCUAUGUCGUAUGUAAUGUGGUCCACGUCUUCUCAAUAUCAAAUUCAGUCGCAGAGGGCUUCCCCAAGGCAAAGCCAACUUCGUGGGAGACGCGCUGGUCUGGCUUCAGCACCGUUUCGCUGUAUGUGGAGAGAUGGUCGACCAUAAAACGUACGUGUGCUUUAUGACGUAUGUCACAUGGUCCACUAAUUCUCAGCAUCAGUCAGCCUGAGGGGACUUCCUGGAGGCUACGCCAGCUCGGAAGUAGGUGGUAGGCACCAUCCAGCACAGAUCACGGGCUUUAUUCCCCUGGCCAACACUCAGCACUCAGUCCCAGCCUUACCGGGCAUCCUGGAGGUGGUAGUGGCUUUGGGCGUGGGUGUGUGUGGUCACGGCCACCCUUGCUAAUGGCUGGUAACUCAUGAUGUAGAUUGCCAGGGCUUCCGGGAGGUGGUGGUCCCAGAUGAAGGGAGGCGAGGCGAGGUCGGCUUCCUGGUAUUUGAAGACGCGGUUGACCAUGGUGUGUACGCUUUAUUUAUGACGUAGGACACAUGGUCUACUUCUUCUCGAUAUCACAUCUUCGCCUUGGAAGACCUUCCAGGAGGUGAUCUCAGCUUUGAGGAGGAGCCACUGCCCGGUGUCAGCACUGCCGCUGCUUGGUACUUGGAGAGAGGUGGUCCGUGGCGCGUUCGCUUUAUUUAUGGCGCACAUUACACGGUCGACCUCUUUGCAGUAUCUAAUCCCGCCUUGCAAGCUUUCCUGGAGCUAACCUCUACAGCGGGGUGGGCACACUCAUUCUGCGCUCUUUGCCACUCGGCGGGGUUUGUUUGUGAUGCAUUUGUCUUGUGUGUGCUGAUGACUGUCGCGCGGCAGCCUUCUUCUCAGCAGACUUCGCUGGCUUGGCGGCUUCGCGGGCAGGGCUAACUUGCGGACAAGGAGAAUGGCUUCACCACGUGCCUGGGUACAUGAGAUGGUUGACCAGAGAGCACACGCUUUAUUUGUGCCGUUUGUGACCUGGUCCACUAACCCUCAGUAUCUAAUCCCCUCUUGGAGAACUUCCGGAAGAAGUGUCCACUCUGGGGGAAGGAGACUUUACGGGAUCAGCUGGGCCUCCGCUAGACUCGGAAGAGAACACCGUCAAGGCGUCUGCCACCCGCGUGCCAGAUACUGCAGACCUGGACUCGUUUUCAGUAGGGGAUCUUGGCUUGGAGGGCUUCCCGGCUGUGAGGCCAUCCAAACUCAGGGGAAGGGGCAUGCUGUCUGCGCCACCCCAAAGUACUGGAGUGACCAGCUGACCAGGGUGUAUGGACUUUAUUGAUGACCCAGGUCAUACACCUCAGUAUCCAGGGAAUCCUUGGGGGGAAAUUUGGAGGGGGGAACCCACCUUGGCUUGGGGGCAUAUGUGUCUCUAUGGUAACUGAGAAAAGUUUGCCCCGGGGGUGAACCAAACAUGUGACAGCUGUCCCGAGCAGCAUCCCUGUGGUCUCACCAGCCUCUGGCCACAAUGCCAGUUUCAGGAUGUUGAGGCUGCCACCAGGUCUGCUCCACUGGGGUACUUGGAUGGACAGCAUGCGCUCAACCAGUGGCUUAAACCAGCACGCCAGCCGCCACAGAGUCCAGUUCCGUACUCACAGGACGCCCAGGAUUGAAGGUCAAGUCUGGGGAAGAAUCACUGGUGUUCUGUAUCAAAUCCCAUCUUGAAGGCCUUCCGGUCCAGACCUCAGCUUCCGGGAAAGAUGUUUACUGUCGGCUCCCACCCAGUGGACAGAAAUAAGUGGUUGACUACAAAGCCUGUGCCUUGAGUACUUCCCAAAGGAAUGCCCAUGUAGAGGAAGACAGUGGUCCCCAAGAUAGCUCCAUGCCUGGAACACACAGGGGGCAGUGCUGCUGUCGAGGAGGAAGCUGUGUGUCUGGAGGUGGCUCUUUUCUGCGGUCCUCAAGGAGAGGUUUCCUUCAGUAUACUCCAUCUUUUAUGACAAAUUAUUCACACCAAAGGGCUUCCCCAGUGGCUCAACUGAUAAUGAACCCGCCUUCCAAUGCAGGAGAUAGAAGAGAUACAAGUUCAAUCCCCGAGUCAAGAAGAUCCCCUGGAGAUGGAAGUGGCAACCUGCUCCAGUAGUCUUACCUGGAGAAUUCCAUGGACAGAGGAGCCUGGCAGGCUGCAGCCCAUGGGGUCGCAAAGACUUGGACAUGACUGAGCAUGCACACGUCAGGGGGCAUCCACACCAACCUCUCUUCAGUAUCAAAUACCAGCUUGGAAGAUUCCCUGAACGAGACAGAAGUUGUCAGCUCAAGUCCAGGUAGGACUCCAUGGAGGUGACGCCAAGCUUUGGGGAAGAAAGUGGUUCUUGGUCAGCUCUAAAGCCGGGACACAGAGAACCACGGCUUACCUGGAAGAUUACCUGGACCCGUAGCCGAUUCCUUGCAGGGCCUGGGUGUCUAUUCACUGCAGACCACAUCUCCGGCCUCUUGACCACAAAAUGUAGGAUUUAUUUAUGAAUUUGCUCCUGAUACGUUGACCUUGGGAUGCAAACCAUUGCUGGGACACUUCCUGAGGCCUGAUAUAUCAAUACUUCCAGAAGGAGGUUACAGUUUCCCCAUCAAGGAAAGCUCCAAUUCCUGGAAAGCAGUUGUAACUAAAUGUUCUCUGUACUGGUGGAAAAUAUUUCACAAGUGACCUCUAUGCAGUGUUAAGUCUUAAAGGGUUUCUUGGCUGACCUCUGGAAGCAACCCCAAGACACUUGAUUCAGACUCUUCGCUUGUAUACGACACAUGUCAACGGGUCCAUCCGGGGCCACACAGACUCUGGAAAACUUCUCCAGCAUCAGUGGAAGGCUGCACGAUGUUUUGUUUUUUUUGGUGUGUGUUUUUGACCAGGGCUAAUCUUGGAUACUUGAAGGAGAGGUUAUCCGUGUUGUCUUCUCUUUAUUUAUGAUGAAACAUACACGGGAAACCUCUUUUUUAGUAUCAAAUCCCACCCUGGAGGCACGUCCUGUUCCCGAUGCAGCCUUCAGGGAAGGGACGUGGCCAGCUGCACUCUGAGUAGCCAGGGGGAAGGCGGACUGUCGGGUGUCGCAGGGACAGCUGCGUGGAAGGGAAGCCACGUUUGGAGAAGGGCCCAGCUUGCUGUGUUGGAGGGAGGCUGCGCCUUGCGGGUCUCGUCUGUUUAAUGACUCACGGUGGGUGGUGGCGCCUCAGGGUGGGAUCCAGCCAGGAUGGCUCUCUGGACACACCAGCCGCUCUCCAGGGUAGCUGAGGGGAUGGUAGGCCGGUGACGUGCACUUCAUUUACGAUGUAGGUCACCCGUUUGACUAUCCACCAGCACCCAGUCCAUCUGUGGGAUGACAUCUUGAUGCACAUGGCGACUUUGGAAAAGAUGUAGGGGGAUGGGGGACCGGUGUGAGUCUGCUGUAUGGGAAGAGGGGUCGCCCUCUCAGGGGCUCCCUCUCCCACCUUUUAAAAAACAAGUAGAAGCGAUCGUCAGUCAACCGUCUCUUCCCAGGGAAACCUCUCCCAGGCGAUGGCUAAGCUGCACUGCAGGUGUUAGGGAGGAGGCCCAGCCCGCAGCACAGGUUGAAGACAGGACUUGUGUGUUACCUGCUUCAGGGUCCAGUCUGUUCAGAGAGUGUGUGUGUGUGUGUGUGUGUGUGUGUCUAUGGCCAAUAGUGCCAAUGUGGGGAGCACCUUCUUUUGUGACGUCAGCUCUCUUCUGCGGGGUGUGAAAACAGGCUGUUUGAUGAGGCUGUCGUGUAUGAGAUGAAUAUCACAUGGUCCAUCUCUUUUCAGUAGUAAAGCCACCCUGGAGGAUUUCCUGGAUGUGACGCCUGAUUCCAGGCAGCACCACUGGUAUCUGUACCGCUGCCAGUGAGCGAGUGGCUGGGGCACCGGCCUCGGUGUGUGCUCACAGCAGGUUUCAGUGUGCCCCUCCUGCAUCGUUAUCACCUAUGGAACCCAGCCUCUCCUUGAGUGUGUUUCAAAUCCACGUUCAUUACCUGGGGAGGGGGCUUUGCUGUUGUCACUCAUCUCUGUGUCUGUUGUUCUGCAUUUUUUUGGCCUAGGAGGACUCAUCCAGGCUGGACACUGAUCAGUGUCAGAUGCUGCUUCAGAUGCAUUCUGGACACGACACGUAUGGCAGAGAACACGCCUUGGAGCUCACCAUCUGUGAAGGGAACACCAUUGGCAUGGGCCCCUCUCCAAGAGACCUGAAGGACGGUUGGACCCCAGAACAUCUCCCCUGCCUCCUUCGCCCGCAGGAUCCCCGCUCCCUGGGAGGACUUCCUGGAAGUGAUGCUGACUUUGGAAAAGACAUCAUUUCUUCAUCCCUAUGGUCCAGUGGCCCUCUGUGAUGGAUUUUCUGUAUUUGUCACAAGUCAUCCUGAACAGACUGUCUUGUAGAACUAGACCAUCUCUCAAAGGAACCAGGAGUGUCUGUAAGAAGGGGAUGCUGGAAUCAGGAGCUUGCCAGACACCCUAGGGGUGGUCCACGGACAGCAGAUGCUCCUUCGGCGGCUUGUCCCACCUAAUUUGAGGUCCUUGGCUUCGCAUUUCUCAAGAGGAUGCCUUGCAGAACCGCUGACUCACGGAGGAGAUUUUAUUUCAGAGUCCCAGACCACCCCAUUUCCUCUGAAAUGAUGCUCCGCAUGACCAUUUGCAGACUUCAUCGCAAACAUACGGAACCCGGCUGUACUGAUUAUUGGAUUCUGCCCGUGAGCUCUCCCUGGAAUCAUGAGUGAGAGAGAGGCUGGGGUUGAUUGACUUCAUCUGUGACAGCCAUGUGACCCACCUCCGCCCCGUGUCAGCCUCACCCGUGAGGGCUGCCCCGACGCUGCAGACACGGAGCGCCGUCCGCCUCCUCCCAGGCGGACCGUGGGCUGUGAGCAUGUCCGUGCCCAUCGGGGCUGACCACUGGUGCCUGGAAAGAAGUCGCCCAUGUUCUUUUCGCUGAUAUGUGACGAAACAAACAUGGUGCACUUCUUUUCCGGCAUCAAAUCUCAGCUGGAGGAGCCCUGGCCCCCACGGCGCUUCACGGAAGGGGCUCCGGCGUCCCUGCUGUCUGGGUAUGUAUGUGGAGGCUGGCCCUUCAUCUCAGCUCGAGGAGCCCCUGGCCCCCAGGGCACGUUACGGGAGGGGCUCUGGUGCCCCUGCCUCUCUGGGUAUGUACGUGGAGGCUGGCCCCUCAUCCACUGACCAUCCUUGGUUUGAUCACAGGUCAUGCUUGCCUCUAAGAACGGGCAUGACUGUGAGAGCCCUCGGUCAGGUUCCCAUUUCCCGCUGCAAGAGAGGCUGGGUAAACAUGUCCAGGUGAAGAAUUUCACCCAGCAUUUGAGGGGGAGGUUCAGAUGAGAAGCGGCCCCCUUCCCAAAAUAAUACAGCUAAAUAGUGGCAGUGGCAACAACAAAAACUCAGAGCCGAUGCAAACGAUCCACCAGCCCUCUCCGGAGGUGGAGGUGCAUGGUGCCCAGGUGCGUGGAUGUUAGCUGUGAUCGUCCCCUGGGGGACCGUCCCCCACACCUCCCUAGGAGGGCUGAUCAGGGACACCUGAUGUUGUGGAGGGUGGCGGUCCCUGGGGUUCUGGAAGAGGGGUUUUCCCAGGACGGCCAUUUCACUGGGACUAAUUCUGCUCAGCCCCUCUUUCUAGGUUCCAGUCCUGCCCUGGAGGGACAUGUUCCCAGAUGCCGUUGGCAGAGCAGGAACAUUGGUGUCGGCCCCCUGGUCGGGACCAACGAGUGGACGUGCCUCCUAAAAGUUGAUGCUGUCCCGUCUUUCGGUCUCUGGCUCCAUGCACCUGCCACCAUCUUCCCGCAGGAGGCACCACGGGGCUCUGUGGACCCUUUUAUUCUGUGGUCCUUGAAGAGAGGUAUUCCCAGGUGAAUUCGUUUUAGUUAUGACGAAUCGGUCUUGGCCAACCUCUUUGCAGUAUCAAAUCCGACGUGGAAGAAGGGCCAUCGGAGCUGGGACUCUUGGCGUUGGCAGUUCCGGAGGGAGGAGUUUCUGGAGCCCUGCCAACUGGGACCAGAGGCCGCAGGGUUGGUUCCUCUCAAUGCUCUGUUUGGUACUAGAAAAGAGGUUGUCUGUGUUUCUUAGCUUUGUUUAUGAUGAAAAAUAUGGGUACACUUCUAUUUGAAUAUCAUACCCCAUCAUGGAAGCCCAGCUCCAGCUUCCGGGAAGAGACGUUAGUGAUGAACCCCAUUAGUGGCACUUGGGUGAUGCUGGGCUCAGUGGCUGCCUGCGGAACGGUUGACUCCUGCCCCACCCAUCCUUGGGGGCCUGUCCUCCUGUCAGAGGCUGUCAUGGGGACAGAAACAACUUUGGAGAAGAAGCAGCUGUUCCCAGAGGUCCAUCAAGAAAGGCUGUCCAAGAUGUGGCUCACAGAGCCUGCCUGAUUGACCAAGUCAAGGGCCACCCUCUUGGAUGAUGGGAAGGCUCAGAUGCAGGAACACCUGCCAGGCUUUCUGAACCAAGAUAGAGGGCAGCUGGCCCCAGAGCCCCAGAGUCUCCGCAGCCCUGAGGACCUCCUAGAGGGGGGAUUCUGGUUCUGAGCCACCCAUGGGAUGUGAAGUCGCCCAAUGAUGCCUCUGUCCUAUGCCCAAGGAAACAGGAAAGGUACAGCCUUCAGAACUGAGCCUCCUUCCCACCUGGGAGGCCGUCCACAUCCUGCAGCUGAUGUCAGGGAGGGCCACUUAUACCUGCAUACCAGGUAGGUCAAAGGAUGGCUUGGAGGGAGUGUGAGGUCUUUGAUGGCAUCUGUUCUUUGCGUGUGAGUGCUCACCAUCCAUUUCUUUUGCAGGAGGAUGUCCAGCAGACAGAAGAGGAACAUUUCACAGAAGCUGGUCUGAGAUGUUCGAAAGGAGGUUGUCCGUGAUGUAUUUGCUUUAUUUGUGGCAGAUAUUGCACGGUUGAUCUCUUUUCUUCAUCAAAUGCCUUCUUGAAGGAUUCGCUGCACGUGGGGGGUCAAAUUCUGGCAUGGGGAGUGGGGAGGUGUUAGCCCCACUCUGAGGGCAUGGGAACAGAUGGUUGACCAGAUGGCUAGUGUUCUCCUCUGUUUUUCUUCAUUUCUUCUUUUGCAAAUUAAGAAUGUAUUAAAUGAUAUCCUAUCAUCCUGUUUUUUACAGUAAAUCUGUCAAUGUGAAAAAUUAGGCUGUGUAACACCAAUUUCUUUUAAACAGUUGACAAAUAAAUGUGAACAAAAAGUUGUUUAGCACAUUUUUUUUUUUUGGAGUUUUAGAAGAAUCCUGAACCAAAACCUCCAGUGUUUUGGUUUCCAAAGCUUAACCUCUGAAAGAACAGAUUAGCCACCAGAAAUACACUGAACAAAUUAUAAUGAUAAAGAUGAGAUGAUCAUGGGAAUUGUUAUGACUGUGUGGCAGGUGUACUGAUGUUUUAGUAUAAAACUUAUUUUUCAGAUUGUUUUAUUUUAAUAAUAACUUUUUUUAAGACAAAAUACCAGUCUUCUUGGGAAAGUUACAAUUUUAAAGUUCUUAACAGAAAGAGACUACAAAGUCUUUACACACUCCUCAAAGGCCCCUGUGCUGCAUCUCAUCUAAUUGUCUCUGACUUAUCUUUUUGUAGUUUUGCUGGGGAGCAGAGUGCUGUUUUUAAUACGUACUUUUAUCCUAAACUUGGAGAAGAGUUCCUCAAGACUUGUAGGCAGGUGGAUUAUUCAAGAAGAGUUCUCCAGGAAGACCAUUCCAGAGGGAAGUAGGGGUAACAGGAGAGGGAGGGGGUUAAGCCCAACAGUGAGCAGACACGGUUAUCAGCUCAUGGACCCCUGGUAGCCCACCUGGCAUGUUAUCCUCAGCAGGACACUCAGGGCAUGAUGCCUGCUUCUUGGAAGAGACAACAGGUGAGUUGACAUUGAUUCCCCAGGACCCCUGCAGAGGAGUUUCGUGGCUAGUCACUACAUCUGUUCCAAAUCUCAACUGGCUGCCUACAUUUCAAUUUUUUAAAAAAUACAGCCCAGCUGGGAAUUAUUCCUUAAACAGCAUGUCCUCCUCAUGCAUGACCAUGCUUGUAAGACCCACUCCUGGGUACUUGAGCGAUGUUGGUCACAAACUUAGACCCUCUGAUCCCCUAAACAUCCACAGCCCACUUAUUCUGGACAAGGCUUCAUGGAGGAAACACCAACCUGGAUGGCAUGGCACAGCUCCCGAUGGCCCGUGGAAAGCACUGGGCUGUGUACGUUUGCCUCAUUUAUGAUAAAUGAUGCUUGGGGACGUCAGGGGGUUCAGGGUUGCUUCCUCAGCAAGCCAAGGCUGUAGGGGAGGGGCUCUGGCUCUGUAGAUGAUGGGCGUGACCUGGUCCCCUCCCCUUGGGGUCCAUUCAUCUCUAGAAAGAGUGCCUGCCUCCGCCCUUGUGACAGGCCCUAGUUUUCCAGGUCAAGGUUUUUUUGAACCAAUUCCAACUUUAGCAAAGCAAUACUGGUAUCAGUGCCUCUCUGUGGAAUAUGAACGGAGGGUCAAGCACAGAAUACGUGCUUUGCUUCUGAAGAGCGCCUUUCGGCCCAUUUGUCUUCAAUGUGGAGCUGUGUUUAGGAGGGCUUCCCAGGCGGUGGCAGCUGUGCAGAACAGGGGCUGAGUCUGGGAUUAUUGCUGAUGUGAUGUUUGCUUCAGGUCGGGAAGACCCCCUGGAGAAGGAAAUGGCUACCCACUCCAGUAUCCUUGCCUGGGCAAUCCCAUGCACAGAGCAGCCUGGUGGGCUGCCGUCCAUGGGGUCACACAGAGUUGGACAUGACUGAGUGAGUAACACUUGUGCCUUCACUUUAGGAAGCACACUUUACCAGGAAUUGACAGCACCUAUUUUGGUAAGUCUCUGUAUCCCCCGGUCCACCUAAAAAGUGAUUUUUCUGGAAGUUGUAAAAUGUUUUGGUUGGGAGGGAGGGUGGCUGGUAAGCCUCUCAGUGGGGUUUGAAGUGACACUGUAUUUGUCUAAUGCAGCCCAACAGCCUAUCCUGUUGAUUUACCCAGUCCUGCCUUUUGGGACCUUCCAAAUACAAUCUCACUUUCUAGAAGGUUCUUUGAUGUCCUCAUCCCUCCAAGGUAUGAGAAAGGAUGCCUGACGACCUUGCACGCUUUCCCGCACUCUGUGUUGUAGGAUGCCUCAGGAGGGCCUCAGGGAAUUGACCUUGACUUUAGGAACGUUGCCUGGAGAAUCCCAUGGAGGGAGGAGCCUGGUAGGCUACAGUCCGUGGGGUUACAAAGAGUCGGACAUGACUGAGCGACUUCACUAUGAUAUUUUCAGGACUUACUGAAAGGAUAGUUAUUCCUACUGUAUUUGCUUUAUUUAUAGUGACUUUUUGAAGCCUGUUCACUUUUCCAGAAUGAGAUUCUGCUUUUCCAGACCUGAUUGGGGUGGAGAUACCAGGGUUUCCCUCAGCAGGGGGGCUGACAGCAAGGUAGACCCCAAGGGGCCAGGGUCUGAUGUCAUAGUUCCUUCCUGGAGUUUAGAAAGGACUUGAUGGCCUGCAGUUGCAUCUUUUCUAGCUGUAUCAUGUUCUGGCUUGUGCUUCCCACGGCUGCUCAAUGUUUGAUAUUCAAAAGGUGGAUAUUCCUUCUAUGUUUACAGGAUUGACAGCUAAACAUAGAGGAAAAUCCACAUUUUAAGUAUCUAAAGUUGCUUUUGAGACAUUUCUGCACACAAAAUCCGCCCCCUCAUUGAAGAGAGAGGAAGGUUAACUGUCGCCCCAAAACACAACCACACACACGUGCAUACACGUGCAUGCACACACACACACGGAGGGAGUACAUGUACUCCACCUCCUUCCCCCUUAGUGACGGGACAGGCGACCUUCCUGGCCGCCAGCUCCAGAGGCUCACGCCUAGUGGACUUGUCCUGUGUUAUCUCUAUUUCUGAUGGGUUGUGCUCAGGUUCACGCUUUCCGGGACUAAAUCCUUCUUUGGUAUUUAAAAGGUGGAUAUUCCUUCUAUGUUUAUGUUAUUUAUGGUUAAACAUAGAGGAAAUUCCACGUUUUCAGUAUCAAAUGCUGCUUGGAAACUUUCCUGGACUGAAAUCUCCAUCAGGGGAGCCAGGUGGGGCUAAGCCCCUCCAGGGUAAGUGGAAGUUGGUGGACCCCAGCACAUGUGAUCCGUUCCUGGCACAUGUCUGUGGACCACCUGCUUGUCUUGGGGAGACCCUCCCACCGAGUGGCCAACUCGGGGGGAGAGGCUGGGGUCCCGGUCUCUCCAGGGCAGCUCAGCAGUUUUUGCUAUGUGUCUUUCAUUUCAGAUGGAUCGUGCCUAGGGCGACGCUUCCCGGGAUCCAUCCUCUUUGGUAUUUAAAAGGUAGAUUUUCCUUCUAUGAUUACGGGUUUGGUGAUUAAUCAUAGAGGAAAAUCCACAUUUUCGGUAUCAAAUGCUGCUUUGGAGACGUGAUUGGGACUGGCAUGCGGGUGGGGGCAGGAGGCAGGGCUGAGCCCCCAACCUGGGUUAGUGGAAAGGUGGUGGGCUGCAGAACAUGUGCUUCCUUCGCGUCAUAUGUCUGCUGACCAUCACCUUUAGAAGCCCCCUCUCGCUGAGGAGCCCACCAGCCAAGGAGGCCAUGGCGUGUGGCCGCAGCUCUGCCACAGGACUGGACACAGCUUCCCUGACCGUCUUGCUUCCAUUUUCGGUAAAUUACGCACGCAAGUCUUUUCCAGAACUCCAUCUUUCUUUGGUAUUUAAAAGGUGGAUAUUCCUUCUAUGUUUACGUGAUUCAUAGAUAAUCAUAGAGGAAAAUCCAUGUUUUCAGUAUCAAAUGCUACUCUGGAAAUGUUUCUGGAAGAGACUGGAGGGCCAGGCCCCGAGGCCUGGGCAGGUGGAAGGUUGGUGGGUGGGUGGCAUGCCGUGUCUUAGUUAAGGACGAACGCCUGGGGUUCAUCCAUACUCGGGAACCAUCUCUGGCCGAGCAGCCCACUCGGUGAGAUGCACAUCGUGGGUUUCUUGUCCGUCCAUCCGUGAAAGCUUAUCCACCCGACGUGACUUUCAUGUUUGAUGACUGAAGCACAGAUUGGAGUUCUCCUGGACAGAAUCCUUCUUUGGUAUUUAAAAGGUAGAUUCUCCUUCUAUGAGUACAUUAUUUACGAUUAAUCAUAGAGGAAAAUCCACGUUUUCAGUAUCAAAUGCUGCUUGGAAACCUCGGAGGAUGCGACAUCGCCGUCAAAGAAGGAAGGGGGUGGUCAGGGGUCUCCUGUGCUCUGUGUGAGGUGUGCCAUUCAGCUGACUUGCCCUCCGUCUGGUCGUGCGGUCAUGAGACUGCUCUCGGGAUUACUUCGAGUCUGAAUGAAUUUUGUUCUCUGUGUGUUUGCCAUGUUUAUAUAGCAUUUUCCAGAGCCCCCUCUUCUGCAGGAAUCUUAGAGAUUACCUGGGGGUCAGCGUUAGGAGGGGGCCCUGGUGGAGGUACCACUUUCGGGAUGCGGGAUUCACCCACGGCCAGGAGCUCUGCCCACAGCCCCGUGUUGCCUGCCCACUAACCCUGCCUGUCCAAUCUGUCUGUCUUAGACUCACUCCUGGAGCAGAGGCCAGCUCUGCCACAAUGCAAAUGGCUUUCCUGCCAGUAGUGGUGUUUGCUGCUCAAAGAGAGAUUAUCCUUCUUGGGUUUGCAUUGAUUGUCAUGAACAUGCAUAGGGCAAUCUCUCUGAGAUGCAAGUGCCUGCCUGGGAGGGCUUCUUGGAGAAUCAGAGGUCAGGACCACCACAGGGUAGGCAAAUGCAUGCUGACCACGGUGUAUGCGCCUCUAUCUUGAUGUCUGUGACCUGGUUUCUCCUCUUAAUCCCCUGCAUCCUCCCAAGAACCUUCUGGAAGAGAUGAUGGCUUUGUAGAGGAUGCGGUGGUUUUCUGUUCAGUUUGGGAUGUGGUGUCUUCCUUGGUGGGAAGACUGCUUAGUGUGAUGCUGAAGCUGCCAUGAGCUGUCACUCUGUCCAGUGUCCCCAGCUACGAUGCCAGGCUCUGGAAGGAGACCUCAAGGUCAGUGUGUCUCCCAGUAUGAGGAAAGAAGGCUCAACAGCAAGUCAGGGUCUGGCUCAUUCUUGACUCAUCUGGUCUACCCCAUGGACUGUAUCCCACCAGGCCCCUCUGUCCAUGGAAUUCUCCAGGCAAGAAGAUUGGAGUGGGUUGCAUUCUCUUCUCCAGGGGAUCUUCCUGACCCAGCAAUUGAACCCAUGGCUCCUGUAUCUCCCACAUUGCAGGCAGAUUCUUUACUGUCUGAGCUACCAGGGAAGCCCCACCCAGUCUACAUACCCAGGCUAUUCUUGGGCUGACUUCUGGGCUUUAAUGUCCUUUUGAGGGAAGGGAGUGGGUGUGGCUGCUAGUCUAGAGGAAAGGAACCGGGUAGCCCUGAGCACCAUAUUUUAUGGAAUUUGCCCUGGGACCAUAAGCCCAGUGUUCUCUUAGUCCAUAGUCCUUCUCUUGGCCUCAUAAUUGUGAUGGGAGGAUCCUGGGAUGUCUGAUGUCAUUAUCUGUUUCAUUGGAGAGUUGGCCCCUGGGGAUUCCUCUGUCCUUUAGUGAAUCUUGCCGUAGAUGAGUGCUUUUGAGUGGCAGCUCGGGUGACUUUCUGGACACAGUGUCAGCUGCAGGUGGGAGGAUGCUGGCCUUAACGCUGCCGCACGAUUUGUGAGUGAGGAACAGGUCAUGGACUGUGUUGCUUUCUUCUUUUGCUUUUGCUCUUUAGUGAUGCAUGCGAUUGUGUCUUCUAACCCCUGGCAGCCCACCUGUCACCAGGGGAACUUCCUGGAGGGAAAGACUUCGGGUGGAAGGGCGGUUUUGCAGGCUCUCAAGGACUGUCAGUCAUCUGAUGCUCGCUGUCAAGUUCUACAGGACAGCGCUGGCUUUGGGAGGCAGUCCUGUCUUGGAAAGAUGCUGGGGAGCCCAGCCAUCCCAGGGCUGGGUCUCAGUGUGCAGGGGCGGGGUCACUACCGGCUCCUCCCCCUUGGUCUCGGGGCCUGCAGGAGGCGAGCCCCCUCUGGGGAGGCUGCGGCGUGGUCCUCAUUGGAGCUGCUCUUUGGUACUUGAAGAGAGGAUACCCUUUGUAUGUUCACUUUAUUAAUGGCGAAUAUACAGAGGGAGACUCUUAUUUGCGUAUCAAACUCUGACCGGGAAGGCACUUGGACCCAGCUCCACCUUCUGGAUGGAGACCCUGUUGUCGGCUCCUCGCAGGUAUGUCCUCGCUUCCCAGGCCCAGAUGUGGGCUCUGGCCAUGACGUCAGCCCCAGGUCCUCCUCUGGGGGACUCCCCAGAGGCCGCGCCAGGCUGGUGGGGGACAGCGGUGGCCUUUUGUGCAUGCUGUCUGUUGUCUGUAUUGAGUCUAACGGUGAUUUGCUCUUUUAAAGGCACGUGGACCUGCCCUUUGUCACUACCAAGUCCCACCCUGGAGGCUUCCCAGUACCAUGUCUAACUCAGAAGAGAGAACCUGAUGCAGACCCUUUUGAAGGAGACGCAUGAGUGAUGGUGGACCACAGGCUUUAUUUAUGAUGGUUCCAAGCAGGAUGGGCCAACACCUGCCAGUCCAUCCCAGAGGACUUCCUAGAGGUGGCGCUCACUCACGGGAAGAGGCUGAGGUUUGCUGGCCAAGGCUCCUCUUCGAUGUUCAGGACAGCACCCUCGUGCUCACGGUCCCCAAGAUGAAUCUGUAAGAACUCUUUCUGUUUGUGAUUCGUGGUUCCAGUCCUGCCUGGAGACAGUGUCCUCCACAGGAAGCACCCAGCUCUGGGGAGGAGCAUGGGAGCCAUCGCCCUGGGCCAGGAUGACAGCUAGAAGACGAGGGCUCUGGCUCUGUGUUUGUGGAGACGUUUCUUGGGCUGUGUAACCAUCCACUUGGUGGACAGCCUGACCACCGUGGGGGUCCCCAGACCCUGAGGCCAGCAUCGGGGAAGACGUAUUGCUGUGGCCCCAUCGAGGAGCAGGUGUCGUCUGCGAGAGGUGGGUGCCUUCCCCUGGGGGAGGAGCUGGGUUUCCUGCUCGCCCGUGGCCUUCUGUUUCUACCCCUUCUGAAGGGCCUCCUUGGCAUUGAGGCUGCCGUGGGGAGCUGGUCGUGCUCUGCUGAAUCCAUGUUUCUGUGGUACGUGGAGUUAGACUCCUUUUCAAUGUCGACUCUCCUAGCAUGGCUUCCCAGUGUGAUGCCAACCUCCAGUAGGGCAUGGGGAGUGUGGGGAGGAGGCCCCUGUGGGAGGUAUGAUGGUGACCACGGGGCCUUGACUUCAUCCGUGAUGUAAAUUCACCCAAUCCCCUCACCCUGGGUGCGUAGUCAGGAGGACUUCCUGGAGGAGGUGUCCAUUCUGGUUCCACCUCCAGCGUCAUUCUGCAGAAAGCAAGAAGCUAGCUGAGCUCUGGGCAUGCUCUGGAAGGCCGUGGGGUUGAUCUUUUCAGGAGUAAGCCCUGAUUUGGAGUGAUUCCUGAAAAUGAUAUUGAUGUCAGUGAAGGGGCACUGGCUUCUGUCCGUCCCCAAGCUGGGAUGGAGAGCAGUCCAGCAGGCACACACCUGGCAGGCGGUGUCUGCCCCCUGGUCUGCCGAUUCUGCAUCCCCCACCCCCUCCCUAGGCUGUUUCCCGGGAGACGAGGCCAGCUCUGUGAACAGUAGCGAUGGACCUGCCCAAUGCUACUACCGUUUGGUACUUAGAGCGAGGUUGCCCUUUGUAUAUUCAGUUUUUUGAUGUAGAAUAUACAAGGGCAAGCUCUCUGUGAGUAUCAAACCUUGGACCCAGUCCACAUGCAGCAAGGGAUUCGGUAUGUGUGCAUGACCGUGUGUCCAGUGGUGUGUGGCAAAUGGCUUCAGGGUCACCAGUUGGCAGAGGUGACAUCUCAGGCACACGGCUGCCUUUAGAGAAGUUGAUGGGCCCUGGGGAGUGACACCUCCCGGUUCUGCCUGGGGUGGGGGCGGGGGCGGUCAGGAGGCAUGCACUGCGUGUGUACGACCCGGGUCCUGAGACGGCCAGGUCGGGCCCGGUGUGGGUGGUGGCUGCAUCGUCACUGCACGUGUAUGCUGGGUGCCUGUGAACUGAUGCACUAACCCUCAGCGUCUAAUUUGUCCCCAGGACUGUGCCUUGAAGACGCUCCACGUCCUCCCAAGGCAGUGGCUUUCUUUCCCGUGCUAACCUUUGGUACUUGGAGAGUGGUUAUCCCUGUCCUGUUCGUUUUACUCAUGUCGAAUCGUACAGGGUCAUCCACUUUUUCAGUAUCAAGAGCGCAGACCGUAGAGUUCGAUUUCCUGUGUUUGGAUCCCGCCUCUGACACUUACUAACCGGGCAACCUUGGGCAAGGAUAUUUCAUCGUGCCGUGCCUGCUGUCUCGUGUGGAAGGGGGGCCGGAGGGCUGUGGGGGGCUGGGUGCGUGCAGACUUGUACAUGGAUUAGAGCAGAGUCACAGUCGGGGCACUGUGUGCUAGGAAAUGCUUGGUAAUGGUGAUGCAAUUAUCGAAAUUUCUCCUUGGCAUUUUGGAGUGGUGUUGAGAUGUGGACAGCAGAUCACCCUCAGGUAUGUGAGUGGAUGCUUGAGCCCACUGUGUUCAGUGGGGUGGCCGAGGCUUUGGAAAUGCAGUCACUAAGCCCUUCUCCUGACGGCAUUUGGAAAAGCAGGGUACAGUGGGGCCCUCGGCCGUGACCAUGGGCCACCUGGAACCUUGGCCCGAGGGAAGGUGGACAGUCCUUGGCUAUCUGCCUGAGCCACCCUCCGCAGAACACUAGGGCGUGGUCACCAAGCAGAGGGAGCAGCGGUUCAGUUCCGCCUCCCCGGUACCUGGAGACACAUGGUCCUUGAUGCAUGCGUGCACGCGCGUGUGUGUGUGUGGUGUGUGCACGCACAUAUGUGUGUGUGUGUGUGUGCUCGGGUUUGCUGAGCUGCAGUCACUGUCCAUUCUUGAACUGAAGACCUGGAGGUGCCAGUGUUCCUGUCCACGUCGCUAUUUCAUACUUGAGGAGAAAUUAUCCUUGGUGUGUUUGCUUUAUUUGGGAUGAAUCAUACAAGGACAAUUUCUUUCUGAGUAUCAAAUCCUGCCUCAGCGGACUUGCUGAACCCCAUGACGAAUUCCAUAGAGAUGCGUGUGUCAACCCUUUGGGGGGCUCCUGCCUGGCUGGGGGCUGAGAGCUUGCAGGGACUCAUGCUGGGGGACCACUGCUCGAACCUUCAGGAACCUAGCGGCGGGGCCAAGAUUGGCCACGGGCCACCAAGCUCCCUGGUACUGUCUCGACGUGCUUUCGUCAUGGGUGUGUGUCAUGAGUGACCCAGCAUUCAAGGCUCAUCAGAUCCUGCUUCUUGAAGGCUCUGCUUGGACACAAAACCAACUUUAGGAUCAAGUCAUUGCUGUCGGCUCCCCUGUCCCCUGCCUGAGGACGUGAGCAAUUGCCGAGCAUGUGGCCGACUCUGUGUGAAACUGACCCACUAACCCUCAUUGUUUGGACCACCCAAGAAGAACCUUCUGGAAAGGACAAUGACCUUGGAGACGACGCCAAGUUCUUCUGGAUGGCACAGUUCAUUGAUGCUUAAAGAAUGGUUGUCCAUAGUAUGGUCUCUGGAAGAAUUGAAGCUUUUGAACUGUGGUGUUGGAGAAGACUCUUGAGAGUCCCUUGGACUGCAAGGAGAUCCAACCAGUCCAUCCUAAAGGAGAUCAGUCCUGGGAUUUCUUUGAAAGGAAUGAUGC